UACGGAGGGUGCAAGCGUUAUCCGGAAUCAUUGGGCGUAAAGCGUCCGUAGGUGGCUUUUCAAGUCUGCCGUCAAAGACCGGGGCUUAACCCCAGAAAGGCGGUGGAAACUGAAUAGCUAGAGUGCGGUAGGGGUAGAGGGAAUUCCCGGUGUAGCGGUGAAAUGCGUAGAGAUCGGGAAGAACACCGGUGGCGAAAGCGCUCUACUGGACCGUAACUGACACUCAGGGACGAAAGCUAGGGGAGCGAAUGGG
rnacentral:rRNA from 1 species